rnacentral:lncRNA from 1 species
GAAGUUGGCCAGUCCCACCCCCCAAGGCUAUAGCCCACCCGUUUUUGUGGCCUUUUUCCGCUGGACGAACUUGGCGCCCCGGCCUUCGGGUCGUUAUUUUUGGGCGCGGCUGUGUCCGCGGCCUAUUUUUGGCACACGGAGUCGCCUCGCAAAGCCUCGCGCCAUUCCGAGUCCCGCGGACGAAGUUGGCCAGCCCCACCCCCCAAGGCUAUAGCCCACCCGUUUUUGUGGCCUUUUUCCGCUGGACGAACUUGGCGCCCCGGCCUUCGGGCGGUUAUUUUUGGGCGCGGCUGUGCCCGCGGCCUAUUUUUGGCACACGGAGGCCCCUCGCAAAGUCUCGCGCCAUUCCGAGUCCGGCGGACGAAGUUGGCCAGCCCCACCCCCCAAGGCUAUAGCCCACCCGUUUUUGUGGCCUUUUUCCGCUGGACGAACUUGGCGCCCCGGCCUUCGGGCGGUUAUUUUUGGGCGCGGCUGUGCCCGCGGCCUAUUUUUGGCACACGGAGGCCCCUCGCAAAGUCUCGCGCCAU